AUGUAUAUUCCUACAAUGUCAAUGCACUGGAUCCCAUAAAAACUCUGCAUUUAAGUGCUCUUGGGGUAGAGUAGUACUGGAAUGGGUGACCCCCUGGGAAGUCCUAGUGUUUUACAUG
rnacentral:rRNA from 1 species